GGCCACUCCUAACAGUCUCUUUCCUCUUCAAACCGUCCGCGAGCACAAAGUCGAGCAGACAUUUAAAUCUGAACCUGCCGGUAUCAGGAUCUCUCCCUGUCCUCUGCAGCCAUGGCUGUGUGCAGACUGCAGGUUUGGGGUGAAGAUGGAAGUGCGAAACAUGACAACCUCCCAUGCAGGUGCUGGGUGACAUGAAGAUAAACUGGAGACUACAGCACAUGCAGGUAACUCAUGGCUGAGAUAAAGUGACCAGAUGAAGACUUCUCACGUCAAGGAAUCUGAAUGAGCUCCACAUCACUGGGGGGGGCUGCGCGGGCCAGCACGCAGACUGUGAAGGU